GGUGGCAGGUCACAAAGGUUCUGGGUAACUUUAGAGAACAUCCUAAUGACAAGAGCUGAUGUUGUCAUACUGGUGCAGGUUUCCAAAGCACUUCACACGUGUGCUCUUAUUAGAUCCCCAUGAUAGCCUUGUUUUUUUGUUGUUGUUUUUUUAACCCUGACCUUCCAUCUUGGAGUCAGUACUGUGUAUUGGCUCCAAGGCAGAAGAGUAGUAAGGGCUAGACAAUGGGGGUCAAGUGACUUGUCCAGGGUCACACAGCUAGGAAGUGUCUGAGGCCAGAUUUGAAUCUAGGACCUCCCAUCUCUAGGCUUGGCUCUCCAUCCACUGAGCUACCCAGCUGCUCCCCUCUUCCCCCUUCUCCCCCCCCCCCCCCGCCCUAUGAUGUGAUGAGGUAAUUUACUACAAGAAGGAUUUUCUUCAUUUUCCGAAGGGGCCUGAGGCUAAGUGAUUUGCUCAGAGUCACAUAGCUGGCUGAGUGUCAAAGGCAGGUUCUGAACUCCAGCCUUCCUGACCCCGACUCCUAUGCUGUCUCCACUCUACUCUUUCUCAGGUGGCUUCCAGAGCAGACUUUAAUUCAUAGAAAUACAGAAGGAUCUAUGUCCAUUAGAGAGAAGAUGUGAUGUGCAUCCUCAGAGUAUCGACACAGAUAAAAUAGCCCUCAGAACUGGCUUUGCCCCAGCCUGGAUGCAUUCCUCAUCUUGCCCAACUGGUUUCUUUUUCCUGGAGGCAGGGUAACCAUGGAUCCUAUAACCCACGAAGUUCUAGAAAGGUAAAAAUAAAAUUUUUCUCAAACUUGAGACAGGUCUUCUUUUUUAGUUUGACACAUCAUUUCUCUGUUAUAUACAAUGUUCACAAAUCGACAAUAAUAAUUACUUCCUCCCAUAAAAUCCUGUGAAGUAGGUCAUAUGAGGAGUAUUUAAUCCAUACUUGACAUAUGAAUUAUGGGAUAAUAAUAGCACCUGCCUUGCAUGUGGGUGUUGAAAACAUUUAGUACAGGCACUUAGUAGGCACUUAAAUGCUUGUUUCUUCCUUUUCUUUCUUCAGUGACUUGGUCAGGAUUAUAUAGGUAGGAAGAGGAUUUGAACUCAGAGCUCUUGACUAUGCAUCAACAGUCCUUUUCAUUUUGCUAGUUUCUUUUUGAAAGUGCCUUAAAAGCAAUAGCAACAACAACUAGAAAAAGCCCCGUAAGCAUCAUUUGUCAAAACCAUCUCUCACUUAUGUUUAUAAUGUGGAAAUGUAUCACAAAUCUCCAAGAAGUAGGUAGAUAUUGCAGAUAGGCAAAUUUAGAUUUGAUCUGAGGAAAUUCUUGAAAGCUGUCAACAAGUGGAAGGGGCAACCCUGGAGGUAGUGAGCUCCCUGGGACCAGAGGUCUUCAGACAGAAGCUGUAACCAUUUGUCAUGGAUGCUGUGCAGAAUGUGAUGGUUUAGGAAUUCCUGGACUUAUUUAACAGGACAUUAGAACAUUUGUUCUAAUGAUGACUCCUUCAUGAAUCAGUAGGAAGCAG
rnacentral:lncRNA from 1 species